rnacentral:rRNA from 1 species
UUCAGACGAUGCGUCAUGCAUAUCAAUAAGCGGAGGAAAAGAAACUAACAAGGAUUCCCUCAGUAACGGCGAGUGAAGCGGGAAGAGCUCAAAUUUGAAAUCUUGAAAGGUCACCUUUCAUGAAUUGUAGUUUAAAGAAGUGUUUUCUGUUACGAUCGUAAUAUAAGUUCUUUGGAAUAGGACAUCACAGAGGGUGAGAAUCCCGUCUAUGAUUGCGAUUUGUAGCUUUGUGAUACACUUUCAAAGAGUCGGGUUGUUUGGGAAUGCAGCCCAAAACGGGAGGUAAAUUUCUUCUAAGGCUAAAUAUUGGCGAGAGACCGAUAGCGAACAAGUACCGUGAGGGAAAGAUGAAAAGAACUUUGAAAAGAGAGUUAAACAGUACGUGAAAUUGUCAAAAGGGAAGCGUUUGACACCAGUGUUGUUUUCUGAAAAUCAAUUAAAAAGAGUUAGAUUUUGUUGUGUAUUGACCUUAACAGCUUGCAUUUCAAUUUUCUUGCUUUUUUAAUGCACUUUUCAGUUAACAAGUCAACAUCAGUUUCUUUUGUUGUAAAAAGGGUAAUAGGAAGGUGGCUUUCGCUUCGGCUCAAGUGUUUAUAGCCUUUUAGCCUCUGCAGUCGGAGAGAUUGAGGUCUGCAGCGUAGAUCCUUCGGGGUUAAAUAGCAUUUGUGCUAAGUUAUAGCCUUUCAUAGACAACUUGUUGACUAUGAUCAGUCAUGUAGCUUACUCGCUUAUGCUAUUUUACCUACGCUUAGGAUGUUGAGCGCAUGUCUCUCUCU